UACGGGGGGUGCAAACGUUGCUCGGAAUCAUUGGGCGUAAAGGGCGCGUAGGCGGUCCUUUAAGUCAGAUGUGAAAGCCCUCGGCUUAACCGAGGAAGUGCAUUUGAUACUAAGAGACUUGAGUAUGGGAGAGGGAAGCGGAAUUCCUGGUGUAGCGGUGAAAUGCGUAGAUAUCAGGAGGAACACCGGUGGCGAAGGCGGCUUCCUGGACCAAUACUGACGCUGAGGCGCGAAGGCGUGGGGAGCAAACAGG
rnacentral:rRNA from 1 species